CUGGGUGGUCUUGGGCUCGCAGCAGAAUGGGGUGGGGCAGGACAGAGCUUCCCAUGGAAUUCAGGGCUGCGCUGUGCCUCGGGAUGCUCAGAAGUACUGGUCCAGCCCUGGCAACUGGAGCUCUUCUCCUCCAUGCUGAUAGUCUUUCUCUCCUUGGCUGCACUGCUUCCAAGCAAAGCAACCGACCUGCAAAGUCGGGAUGGUUGGGUGGAGUCAGGAGAACACACACGAAGGCACUGUGUUCCACCGUGCUGCCCUUCGGUCUGAACUCAGCAAGGGUUCCAUGCGUCAGGACUCAUCCCUGUCUGUCAAGGGAAGCCCCCCCGAGCAUGGAAAGCCCAGGAAGAGGCUUCGUCUCCAAUCCCGAGUGCCCUGCACAUGGCUGCGCGCAGUGAUGUUUGAAAAUGGAGCUGAUUCCGAAGUUGCUCAUUUCAGGUGGAUCUGUGGUACAAAAUUACUCCAGCAACUUUAUCCCUCAUCCGGGGUUUUUACACAACAAAUUUACGGGAGAGGUCUUGUGAGCGGCAUCGGACCCAGAGGCAGGGAGAAGCCCAGAGCUGCUAACUCCGUACUGAAGGCAGCAUUGUGUCAGAGCCACACGCACCUGCACUCGAGGCUGAGCUCACUGUGAGCCCUGGACCCUGUCCGCGGGGAGGCGCAGGACUUCCCCAGGCGCUCGAGAGGCCCAGCCCUCCCCUGGGUCCACAACUGGAGGAGCAUCGGAGAGGCCAGUUCUGCACCUGGCACCUCACACACGGGGUCAGGGCCCAGAAGCCCCCUGCACUCCCAGCGCUCCCAGAGUUCACCGCAUUUCCCGAGAUACAUCUGAAAUCUUCCAAAUCCUGCCGCAUGGCCUUUAGCUUGCUUUGUAGUUUUAUUUUUGCCGUAUGAAGCUUGAACCCAGGGGAUCCCACAUGGAGUAAGCGCUCUACGCCUGGGUUGCAUCCCUACCCAUCUUGUUGGAUACUGCUGGUUGUUUUGAAUCUUGCCUACAUGGGCUGCUCCAGUUUACAUAGCCACACACAGAAUUAGAUCCUGAAGUUCCGCUUUAAUAAAGAGGCUUGAAAUUAUUCAGAACCCCCCCCCCCCCGUACUAGGGAUUAAACCCACG
rnacentral:lncRNA from 1 species